GCGCCCCCAGACUGGCGUGGUGGGGGCGGGUCGAGCGCCCCCGCGGGACUCUGCCCGCUGACCUCGGCGUUGGCAGCUUCUCGGCUCAGCAGCCCCACGGAUACAGGGUGGAAACGAGUGUGGUUAAGCUUUGUGACUACCCCAUGAGAGCCUCUGCUCCCUUCCUCCCUGCUGUGUGACAGGGUUUUAUGACAAGUGAAGCCGGGGCUGCUGGCAGUCUUGACUGUGAUCGCGGUUGAGCCGGAGGUGGCACCUUCAGGCCUCUCGUUCCUCCCUGGAAACGGCCCCCGUGGGUGUGGAGCAGGCCCUCGCGUCUGUCAAAGAACCCACGCCUGCUGCUUAAAGGAAAAGUUUACUUUGGCUCACGGUUCAGAAGCUUCAGUCCAUGGUCCGCAGAGCACGCACUAAGGCUCUGGGGGACAUCUAGGUCUAUCCCGCAGCACAGUGACCUAAGGUUCACCCAUCCUUUAUCGAAGCGGUGCACAGAGUUGCUCAGAUACCCAGAGACCCCACCGUGGGCCACACCAGCCCAGCAGAGAAACAUUUCUGUAGCCCAUGCCCCUCGCCCCUUUGAGACCUGGUCUUGCCGAGUAUGUUUUGGGGACGUCAUCAGCCUGAGGACUGUCUUUCUCGCCUCUUGGAAGAUGUCUGCAGUCCCUGGCUCCAUUGGCAGUGACCCACCUCUCCUGGGGACGGCUCCACCUCCUUGGCUACCCGCUAAUGCAGGCUGUUCCUGCCCAGCGGGCGGCAUCUCCGUGCCCCUCUCCAUGGUGCUGGACAGCGCGCAGGCCUCCUUUGUCCUGGCUUCCUGUUUCCUCCACCUUGUGCGUCACGCUGUCUCCUCUCCUUUGUGGCCCCUCCCUGCUCAGCUUGUGCCAGUGCAGGAACAGGAGGGGGUGGCAACGGUGGCCGGGGGAGCUGGGGGACCGAGUGUGUGUCCCGGAGACUGCUUCAGGCGAGGCAGGCACCAGCAGAGGACCACUGAGCCAGUAUGAUGACCUCUGGUUGUGCUCACUGGUAUCAUGGGUUAGAGGAGGGGCAGAGCAGGUAAUGAUUUCAGAGAAUUUUUCAGAGCAGGCAAGUCUCAGGUCACUGCCUGCUCAGUUAUGCUGGUUUUGAAAAGCCAGGAGAGGGGCUGGGGAUUUAGCUCAGCUGCAUGGCGCCUGCCUGGCAAGCGCAAGGUCAUGAGUUUGAUUCCUGGUACUGGAAGAAAAACAACAACAAAAAAACAAAAAUGAAAAGCCAGGAGAAAGACUGUGCCUUAGAACAUGCCUCUGGGUUAAAGAAAUAUAAAGGAAGAGGGGAGGAGAGCUGUGUGUAGCCCAUCUCUGAGGAAGGAAGCAAAGGAGGACAAGCAUGUAAAUCAAGCCGUUCAGCCUUAAAAAGUGGGCAGGAGUGGAGGAAGGGUAGGACAGGUAACUCCGGCUAAUUCCCUUUCAAUAUCUUUUAAUAACACUCUUAGGAGAAACGAGAAUUUUCAGAGCUGCCAACAAUAGCAGUGAGAUUGGAGGGCAACGCCAUUGUUUCUUGGAUUAUAAUUCCAAGAGAGAUGCAAGACCCCAGGGAGGAGGAUGACAAGGCCCUCAGUAACACUUCCCACGGUAACCUCGAGGAGGGGUUUCUCGGGCUUUUCCUGGAGAUGAUAGAGUGAAGACCCUCACCCUCGUAGGCCGAUGUGCACCUGUCAGAACUGCUCAGUCACAAGAACCAAGUCUGGCAUUUCAGAGUAAACACGUUAUUUUCUAUGAAAUGGCCAUAAUUAGCUGUGGGAAAAUCGUUGACCCAUUAGCAGCAAAAACAGAUGGAAUGAGCUUUGUCUUCACGCGUGAGCUAACCUGUUGUGAAAAUAUGAACUGUUAGCCGUGGACUCGGUCCCCACACUGCAGGGGUGCUUGGUACCGAGAGGCAAGGGGGCACAGCCGGCCCGAGUCCUCUGUCAGUCACUUGGGGUGAGGCCUCCGGAUGUCUUUGCAGGAGCGGAGUAAGCAGCGCAGAAAUCUCGACAUCUGCUCCAGCAACACUUUGAACAAGACGCGUGAGCAGAUGCCAGGCACCACACUGACGUCCGGCCACGUGACACCAACAGAAGCUGCAAGCUCAGGUGCCCAGCAUUUCUGCGGCCCAGAGUUAAAAGGAGGAAGGGACACAGGGAACACCGUGACAGCGAGCCCUGAAGACACAAGACCCCAUUUGUCAGCAGGCGGUUCUGCAGUGACUCCAGCCCCACUCGGAUGCAGAUGCUUAGCACAGAGCACGUCCACAGCUGAGUCCCUGUUAGGAGCAGCCCACACACAUCAGGGCUUUGGGUCUUCUUCCCGACUUCCCAGACUGUCAUGAAAUGGUAGGGAAGGACGGGUGAGAAGGGACGGGCUCCGAGAGUGCACACCCUUGCCCCUGUCGGGAGCCGGCCAGGGCACGGGGAAGACGGCACUGCAGGGAAAACGUUCCCCACCACUGCUGUCUACAGAGCGAUUCUGUCUUCUACUGAGAAGUCGCCACCGUGCUUGGUGAAGGAGGGUGCAGCCACUCGCACUGUCGCCCGUCAUCCCACAACUCGUGCUCCGUGGUGACGGCGCAGCACGGCUCUGGGCCGGCUUUGCUCCUUGCCACGUGGCCGCGCGCAGCUGGGAGCCGCUAGCUUAGUCCUGUCCCCUCAGCCUCCUGAGCGAGCAUGGCCUGAAGGCUUCUGGGAAGAGCCGGGGCUGGCUGAGUGGCCCCGAGGACAGCAGUGUGGACGCCGUGGGCUCAUGGAGGCUCCGGGCCUCACAGAUGUGCGGUGUUCAGCUGCUCUUCCUGCGCAGGCAGAUGCCGCCGAGCUUGUGAGCCGCUGCCUGAGCAGCUGGCCUUGGGCACCAUGGACACAGGGUGGGUGGUGCUGGUGCCCCGCUGCCUGGCCUCACCACUCCAUUGGCUUUCACCUCUGCUGGCAGAAAGAUAGCACCAGCCUGUGUCACGGAGUCACCAGGAAACGUGAGUGGAGGCCCCACACUGUGCGAAAGCCCUGAGCCAGGUAAAAACAACCUCUUGUCCUUCUGAACUUCAGCUAAGACAGUGGGGUUGUAGCUAGACAUCCUCCUCCUGGGCCAGGGUCGGGGGAGCAAAGAAGAUAGGCAAGACUGUGACACACACCCCAGGCCUUCCUCCUCCACCAGUCGUGCAGUAGUUCACUGUGGUGUCAGUUUGAAUGGACCAGGAAACUCGUAGUGGAGUAGUGGAGCACGGUUCUGGGUGUGUCUGUGGGUGAUUGACAGGGAGGCCACAAACAGAGAGAAGACCCGCCCCGGAUGUGGGUGGUGCUAACCAAUAGGCUUGUAGCCUGGAUGGAGCAAAAAAAGAAAGAGGAAGGAAGUCUGCCCUUUGGCUUCUUCAGAGGAGAUCAGGCUUUGCCACUGGCCUUGGACAUUCAUCUCCAGUUCCUCCAGGCUUCCAGUGUGGACUCUUCAGCCACCAUCACGGACUCUUCAGCUUCCCUGCAUGACUUGCACCAGACUCUGCAGUGAGCUCCAGGCCUUGUUUUACCUUCAUCUGCGUCCUUCAGCUCGCUAGUGUGGAUAUAGCCAUUUUGUCUUCUUCCACCAAGAUAAUAUAUUUAAUAUAAUGUUAUACAAUAUUAAAUUUGUUCCUCUAGGGAGCCCCAACGAUACAAAUAGGUCAGGGAUCUUUGGAUUAUCACGUCUCAGGGCUCUUUGGCUUGUCACUUCGCCUGUGCCCCUCGGUGUGUCCCGUAAGCACCAUGCCAGCCCUAGAGAGAGCACUGCUUGAUGGGAGGUGAGGGGCAGGGCUAGAGACUGUGUUUGAGUCAUCAGAGUUAGCUGGAUUUUCUAACAGGUAAACUAGUUCCAAAUCUUUUUAUCCACUUAUUUUUUAUUUUUUGUCUUUUUGAGACAGGUCUCACUAUGCAGCUCAG